UUCUACUCGGUCCACACGGCACGUCACGCUUUUUUGCACUGCGACGGUGUAAGCUCGUUGAAAAAUAAGCGCAUGCCUUGUUCGAUUUCCGCAAUUAAUAGUGAUUUUUGUCGGAUUAAAGACCGUGUUACCCGCUUACCUUACGCUGGGUAGGAAUGUUGGUGAGUUGCCUUGGCAAUCUAGGACUUUGCACCUCAUGGACACAUGUGGCUAGGAUAACCUCGGGGAAUUAACACACACUCCAAUUAAAUGAUAAUAUCAGUAUCGUCGAUAGACCAAAGAGAUCUACAGACCGUUGAAGAUGUUUUCGAAGAGAGCUGC